rnacentral:rRNA from 1 species
UACGAAGGGGGCUAGCGUUGCUCGGAAUCACUGGGCGUAAAGGGCGCGUAGGCGGCUUGCCAAGUCGGGGGUGAAAGCCCGUGGCCCAACCACGGAAUGGCCUUCGAUACUGGCAGGCUUGAGACCGGAAGAGGACAGCGGAACUGCGAGUGUAGAGGUGAAAUUCGUAGAUAUUCGCAAGAACACCAGUGGCGAAGGCGGCUGUCUGGUCCGGUUCUGACGCUGAGGCGCGAAAGCGUGGGAAGCAAACAGG